ensembl:lncRNA
CUCAACUGGGUCUCUAUUUCUCACCUGGGGGUCUCUAUUCUCACACUGGGGGUUCUGUGUCUCAUGUUUGGGGGUCUCCAUUUCUCACAUUGGGGGGUCUCUAUUCUCACACUGGGGGUCUCUAUUCUCACACUGGGGGUCUCUAUUCUCACGCUGGGGGUCUCUAUUCUCACAUUGGGGGUCUCUAUUCUCACACUGGGGGUCUCUAUUCUCACACUGGGGGUCUCUAUGCUCACAUUGGGGGUCUCCAUUCUCACAUUGGGGGUCUCAUUCUCUACAUUGGGUCUGGGCCCCAGGCCGCUACUCCCAGAUGAAAGCCAAGGACAAUCGCGUCCCCACGGCGGCCCAACUACUCCCUGACGAACCUCCGCUCUCGAGGAGAGAACCCAGGACCACACGCCGGGUAUUUGGGGGGGGAUGUAGGGUGUUCGGGACACAGACCCGCCCUGUAGCGGAGCCCCCAGACCAUAACUAUACAUGAUGAGACCCCUGAAAACCAGCCCCGUCCGUCCUAUUACCCUCAGCCCCAAUCCCCUAUGAGCCCCCAGCCCCAACUCCCC